UCCAGCGUAAUCGAAUACUGCGUAAGCGUGGCAGCGUUAUUGCAGGACAGUGUGAUCCUGGCUCACUGGACCUGCACUUGUGACUGCAUGACUAGAGUGCGUCAGAGGGAGUGGAUUCGCGUGUAGCAGUGAAAUGCGUAGAGAUGCGAGACUCGAUGCGAAGCAGCUCCUGGGAUGACACUGACGCUCAUGCACGAAAGCGUGGGGGAGCAAACAGGAUUAGAUACCCUGGUAGUCCACGCCCUAAACGAUGUCAACUAGUUGUCGGGGAUUCAUUUCCUUGGUAACGCAAGCUAACGCGUGAAGUUGACCGCCUGGGGAGUACGGCCGCAAGGUUAAAACUCAAAGGAAUUGACGGGGACCCGCACAAGCGGUGGAUGAUGUGGAUUAAUUCGAUGCAACGCGAAAAACCUUACCUACGCUUGACAUGCCAGGAACUUUCCAGAGAUGGAUUGGUGCCCGAAAGGGAACCUGGACACAGGUGCUGCAUGGCUGUCGUCAGCUCGUGUCGUGAGAUGUUGGGUUAAGUCCCGCAACGAGCGCAACCCUUUUCCUUAGUUGCUACGCAAGGGCACUCUAGAGAUACUGCCGGUGACAAACCGGAGGAGGGUGGGGAUGACGUCAAGUCCUCAUGGCCCUUAUGUGUAGGGCUUCACACGUCAUACAAUGGUCGGUACAGAGGGUCGCCAACCCGCGAGGGGGAGCCAAUCCAGAAAACCGAUCGUAGUCCGGAUUGCACUCUGCAACUCGAGUGCAUGAAGUCGGAAUCGCUAGUAAUCGCGGAUCAGCAUGUCGCGGUGAAUACGUUCCCGGGUCUUGCACUCACCGCCCGUC
rnacentral:rRNA from 1 species